rnacentral:rRNA from 1 species
ACACAUGCAAGUCGAGGGGCAGCACAAGGUAGCUUGCUAUCUGGGUGGCGACCGGCGCACGGGUGCGUAACGCGUAUGCAACUUGCCCUAUACAGGAGGAUAACCCGUCGAAAGACGGACUAAUACUGCGUAUGCUCACAGCUUGGCAUCAAGUGGUGAGGAAAGAAAUUCGGUAUAGGAUAGGCAUGCGUCCCAUUAGCUUGUUGGUGAGGUAACGGCUCACCAAGGCGACGAUGGGUAGGGGAACUGAGAGGUUUAUCCCCCACACUGGUACUGAGACACGGACCAGACUCCUACGGGAGGCAGCAGUGAGGAAUAUUGGUCAAUGGGCGAGAGCCUGAACCAGCCAAGUCGCGUGAAGGAUGACUGUCUUAUGGAUUGUAAACUUCUUUUAUACGGGAAUAACAAGAGUCACGUGUGACUCCCUGCAUGUACCGUAUGAAUAAGCAUCGGCUAACUCCGUGCCAGCAGCCGCGGUAAUACGGAGGAUGCGAGCGUUAUCCGGAUUUAUUGGGUUUAAAGGGUGCGUAGGCGGUUUGUUAAGUCAGCGGUGAAAUCUAGAGGCUCAACCUCGAAACUGCCGUUGAAACUGGCGAACUUGAGUGUAGAUGAGGUAGGCGGAAUUCGUGGUGUAGCGGUGAAAUGCAUAGAUAUCACGAGGAACUCCGAUUGCGAAGGCAGCUUACUAAGGUACAACUGACGCUGAAGCACGAAAGCGUGGGUAUCAAACAGGAUUAGAUACCCUGGUAGUCCACGCAGUAAACGAUGAUAACUGGGCGUAUGCGAUAUACAGUAUGCUCCUAAGCGAAAGCGUUAAGUUAUCCACCUGGGGAGUACGCCGG